rnacentral:rRNA from 1 species
CCGCCCGUAGGAUCAUUCGCAAUGGGCGAAAGCCUGACGGUGCGACGCCGCGUGGAGGAUGACGGCCUUCGGGUUGUAAACUCCUGUCAUCAGAGAGUAAGGCUUCUGCGAGUAACUGCGCAGGAGAUUGAUAGUAUCUGAAGAGGAAGGGACGGCUAACUUCGUGCCAGCAGCCGCGGUAAUACGAAGGUCCCGAGCGUUGUUCGGAUUUACUGGGCGUAAAGCGUCUGUAGGCGGCGCGGCAAGUCAG